rnacentral:rRNA from 1 species
CUACGGGGGGCUGCAGUGGGGAAUAUUGGACAAUGGGCGCAAGCCUGAUCCAGCAAUGCCGCGUGAGUGAAGACGGCCUUAGGGUUGUAAAACUCUUUCGCUAGGGAAGAUAAUGACUGUACCUAGUAAAGAAGUCCCGGCUAACUCCGUGCCAGCAGCCGCGGUAAUACGGAGGGGACUAGCGUUGUUCGGAAUUACUGGGCGUAAAGAGUUCGUAGGCGGACUGACAAGUUAGAGGUGAAAUCCCAGGGCUCAACCCUGGAACUGCCUUUAAAACUGUCAGUCUAGAGACCGGAAGAGGUUAGGGGAAUACCUAGUGUAGAGGUGAAAUUCGUAGAUAUUAGGUGGAACACCAGUGGCGAAGGCGCCUAACUGGUCCGGUACUGACGCUGAGGAACGAAAGCGUGGGGAGCAAACAGGAUUAGAUACCCCAGUAGUC